rnacentral:lncRNA from 1 species
AAUCCGACAAAACGAAAUGGUGGCUUUUUGCAAAUUGGUAGACCAGGUUUCAAAUGAUACCCAGAUUUUCGUAUAUUAAAUUAUGAAGGACAUGAAACACAUUCUCAGUGCUUUGAAGUUGUAAAGGAUUUUUCUUUUAAUAUGGUUUUGGUUAGUGCAAAUAUGCUUCAUUUUGAUUUUAGUCCUGUAAAAAAAAUUGUUGUUUUU